CCAGCUAAAUGUAAGCAUACCAGUUAGCAGAGGAAAAGAAACUAAGAAAAAUGUCCUCAGUGAUGGGGAGUGAACAGAGAAGAACCUAAUGCUGAAUUCCUCCCACCCCAUGGUGGGGUGUGGGAAGUGUGGUAUAUGGAAGACUCACUCCCUAGCACAGCUCACGGGGAGUUAAGGGAAAGUCCCUCUGAGCAGGGACCGUGUGAGGCUGGUGUUGGCCCCAGUGUGCCAGGCCCAGGUCUUCCUUGAGUCAGAUUGCUUGGUAAUGCAGUCCAAAGUGGGUGGGAAAGCCGGGCAUGGUGGCUCACACCUGUAAUCCUGGCACUCUGUGAGACUGAGGCAGGCGGAUCACCUGAGCUCAUAAGUUCAAGCCAAGCCUGAGCUAGAGCAAGACCCUGUCCCUCUAAAAAAAAAAAAAAAAAAAUAGCCGGGCAUUGUGGUGGGUGCCUGUAGUUCCAGCUAUGCAGGAGGCUGAGGCAAGAGAAUCACUUGAGAGUUUGAGGUUGCUGUGAGCUACGACAUCAUCACUUGAGCCCAAGACUCUGAGGUUGCUGUGAGCUAUGACGCCAUGCCACUCUACCAGGCACAACAAAGUGAGGCUCUGUCUCAAAAAAUAAAUAAAGUGGGUGGGAAAUUCCUUAUAAAGCUAAAUAGCAUCUCAAGACAGAUAGUCAACAGGUACCAUAGGGAAUGUCAAAAAGAACUUUGAAAAGAGAGCAAAAAUGAGCCGAACUCACCUUUAUAAGAAAG
rnacentral:ncRNA from 1 species